UUGGAGGGCAAGUCUGGUGCCAGCAGCCGCGGUAAUUCCAGCUCCAAUAGCGUAUAUUAAAGUUGUUGCAGUUAAAAAGCUCGUAGUUGAAUUUCGGGAUCAAUGUUUCGGUCAUGCCGUUGGUAUGUACUGAUAUUAUUGAUUUCUCACCUUCUAAAGAACCGUAAUGCCAUUAAUUUGGUGUCACGGGGAAUUAGGACUGUUACCUUGAAAAAAUUAGAGUGUUUAAAGCAGGCUCACGCUUGAAUACAUUAGCAUGGAAUAAUGAAAUAGGACAUCCGAUUCUAUUUUGUUGGUUUCUAGGAUCGAUGUAAUGAUUAAUAGGGAUAGUUGGGGGCAUUAGUAUUCAAUUGUCAGAGGUGAAAUUCUUGGAUUUAUUGAAGACUAACUACUGCGAAAGCAUUUGCCAAGGAUGUUUUCAUUAAUCAAGAACGAAAGUUAGGGGAUCGAAGACGAUCAGAUACCGUCGUAGUCUUAACCAUAAACUAUGCCGACUAGGGAUCGGAUGAUGUUAAUUUUUUAAUGACUCAUUCGGCACCUUACGGGAAACCAAAG
rnacentral:rRNA from 1 species